rnacentral:rRNA from 1 species
CUGGGAGUACGCGCACGUGAAACUCAAAGAUGACGGGGCCGCACAGCGAGACAUGUGUUUAUUCGAUGAUACGCGAGACUUACCCGGGCUUGAAAUGUACCUGACCGUCCUUGAAAGGGGACUUCUAGCAAUAGCAGGUAUGUAGGUGCUGCAUGGUGUCGUCAGCUCGUGCCGUGAGGUGUCGGCUUAAGUGCCAUAACGAGCGCAACCCACAUUAUUAGUUACUAACAGGUUAAGCUGAGGACUCUAAUAAGACUGCCGUCGUAAGAUGCGAGGAAGGUGUGGAUGACGUCAAAUCAGCACGGCCCUUACGUCCGGGGCGACACACGUGUUACAAUGGGAGGUACAAAGGGUUGCUACCUGGUGACAGGAUGCUAAUCCCCAAAGCCUCUCCCAGUUCGGAUCGGAGUCUGCAACUCGACUCCGUGAAGCUGGAUUCGCUAGUAAUCGCGCAUCAGCCAUGGCGCGGUGAAUACGUUCCCGGGCCUUGUACACACCGCCCGUCAAGCCAUGGGAGCCGGGGGUAUCUGAAGUGCGUAACCGCAAGGAGCGUCCUAGGGUAAAACUGGUGACUGGGGCUAAGUCGUAACAAGGUAACCUA